rnacentral:misc_RNA from 1 species
CCCCUCUUGAUUUUGGAAGUCAAUUGCACCAUAUGGAAAGUAUUACAACCCUAGUUCUGCUAAGGCCUUAGCUAUCCAAGACCCUGCUCUUAGAUGCUUGCAAAUGUUCAUGUCUUAUACUAUAUUAGGCAGAGGGUACGGUAAUGGAGUUGUAGGAAAAAAUGAUUUAUUCUUUUUAUGGUGCAUGAAAGAGAAGAAAAAGAUAAAUGGUGCUUAUUUUCUUUGCUCUCAUAUGGAACAUAUAGUAUCUAAGCAUUCAGCUGGCAGUAUAGUUAUUGGAGGGAUGGUGACUGUGAUUGCCAAAUCAUUUGGUUUUAACCCUCACCAAUAUGCUAUGGUGUCUAUGGUUGUCCAGUCCUUUCUAGAUAGGAUUAUCAUGACUCAAAUUAAAAUUUGUAUGAAAAGAUAUGAUGUUUAUGUGCUGGUAGAUGGGGGACAUGAGCAACAAUCAUAGGGUAUAGGACAACCACCUGAUGCUGGUCCUUCUAGCUCUCACCCACCUACUGUUGGACAAUCAGACUUCUUUUCUUUUUUUAAAAAUUUGGAAGCCAAAAUUGACAAAUUGAGUGAUACACAACAGCUUGCCUCUGAUGAUAAUUUUGAAAUUGAGGUUGCUCUGAAAGCUUUAGAGGCUAAGGUUGAUGCACUUGAUCAGAAGCAAGCCAAGCUUGAGAAAAAGAUUAAAAAGAAGUUUUCCUCAUUCAGGAAAAAGUAGAAAAUUCAUGACAGAGAAAUGAUUGACAUUUAUAACAAGCUGGUAGUUUCUUUUAACCAGUUGUACAAAUGGGGCCAAAACAUUUUUGAAGAGAUGAAAGCUAUGAUAGAAAAUCUGGAUACUGUUUCUAAGAAAUCCAAUGAGCCAGCACCUGUAGCAGCACCAAAUGAGCCAGUGCAGUCCACAAAUGUAGAAGACCAACCAGCUGUUUAGUUUUCAAACUUUGUUUUUGUUUAGUUUCAGUCAAAUUGUCAGACUUUAGUUUUUGAUUGUAUAAUUUGGUCAGUGUGCUUUAUGUUUUAGCUGUUAAUUUCCUAGUUAUUGGAACUUUUAAAUAUUUUAUCUGUUUGUGAAUGGUUUAAACU